UGUCAGUCCGGGGGAAGGUGGAAAAGAGGAAGCACGUGGAGAAGGCGGAGCCGCCCAGGUCCCCCCGGGCGUCGAUGAAUGCCUCCCGGGGCUUCCGGACAGACACCUUGCAUUCUCGGACCUUGUUGACGAUGAAUUCUUGGAUGAGAAACCUGAUAUCUUCCAUGAGGCAGUCAUCAUAAAGAAGUCUGAAUAUCUUGGUUGAGAGCUAGACUUUGGAAACAGAGAGACCCUGUAUAAUAACAGACUAAGAAGUAAGGAAGACAAGCCCAGCCAGUCCCACAACUAUUUCAUUAAUACCAGGUAAAGCAACAGACCUGCCAGUGAAGCAUCUUGGAUCCUUUAGCUUUAGGAAAUCUACUCCAGUCCUGUCCUGUGGAAACUAAUGGGAGUGCCAGGAGGCCUAACCAUCUGAGGUGAAUUGAAAAGAAAAAGCAGCGUGCUGAUUGCAGUGACUGGUGCAUGGAUCUCGAUGGCUACUCUGUACUGUAGGCAGUGAUGACACCCUGUUGAGGAGAUUGGUAGGAGCCAUAGCAACACAGGAGGCACAAUUUUAGGGAUGGUUUACAUUCCUAGCUGGAGUUUCCACAAAGCCCAGGUGCUUGCAUAGAGCCUUACCCUUGCCUAUAAACAACUACAUGGUUUAGUGUCCCCGUAAAAUUUCCCUAGAAUGGGAAAUAAUGUCAGGGCAGCAAUACAGUUUGGGGCAGUAUUUAAGAUCUAGUGCUCAGCUUAACAUAAGUCAUCCUGAGACUGAGAAAAAAAUGACAGGCAAUAAUUUAGUUUCAGUACAGUAUUUUAGUUCCGAUAUUCACUAUAAGUCCUUCCCAGGAAUUGAAACAACAUUCAAGUGUUUAAAUUUAAUACUAAGACAUAACCCCUAACAUCACCAAAGAACAUCUGCAAAAACUGGAAGAGGUGGGUGUCUCCUCAAAUGUGCAGGCAUCAACAUAAGCACAUCAGAAUGGUGAAAACUCAGGUAGAUAUGAAAUUACCAAAAGGCAUCAAGGAGGCUCCAUCGAUGGAUCCAGAAUAAAUAAAGAUCUGUGAGAUGUCUGACAGAGCAUUCAGAAAAAUCUCUUCCUCUCUUUAUAUAAAUAAUGGCUGGGAAUUCAGCCAUUCCAAAUCUGGAGAACCCCUAAAGAAGUUUAGAAAAUCACAAAGAAAUAUGGAAAGUAAAUAAAAAUUAAAAAACAAUCAAUUAACAAAAUGAGAAACUUGAAAAAAAUAGAAACAAUAUUAAAAGUCCAAGGAAUAAAAAUUAAAAUAACUGAACCAAAAAACUCAUUAGAGAGCUGUCACAACAGACUUGAUCAAAAAGAGAAAAGAAUUAGUGAACUUAAAGAUGGAAUAUAUAAAAUUACCCAAUCAGAGAAGCAAAAAGAAAUAAAUAUUUAAAAAGAGUGAAGAAGGUCUAUAAGAAUUAUGGGAAACCAUCAAGUAAACUAAUCUCCGCAUAAUUGGAAUUUUUGGGGAAGAUGAGAGAGAAAUAGGCUUAUAAACACAUUUAAGAAAAUAAUUGCUGAAAAGUUUUUAAAUCAGGAGAAUUAUGACAGUAUCCAGGUUCAGGAAUCUCAGAAGUCACUAAUCAAAUUCAACAAAAAGUAGGAUUUCCCAAAGCACGUUAUAAUCAAUUUAGCAAAACUCAAAUACAUAGAAAAAAAUACUCAAACUAGCAAGAGAAAAUAAACAUUUUACUUUCAACAGAUACUCAAUAUGGUGUUGAGCAAAUUUCUCAGCAGAAAUGCUGUAGGCCAGGAGAGACUGAAAUGCUAUAUUCAAAGUGCUGAAGGGAGAAAACAAAACUACAAAACAAACAAACAAAUAAACAAACACCCUCUGCCAACCAACAAAACUGUAUCUGGCAAAGCUAUCUUUCAACCGUGAAAGGGAAAUAAAGACUUUCCUAGAUAAGCAAAAACUGAGGUAAUUCAUCAACACCAGAGCUGCCUGAGAAAAUGUGGUACAUAUUCACUAUGGAAUACUACAAAGCCAUAAAAAAUAAUAAAAUUGUGUCCUUUGCAGCAACAUGGAUGCAGCUUGAGGCUAUAAUCUUAAGCAAAUUAAUGUGGGAACAGCAAACUAAAUACUACAUGUUCUUAUUUAUAAGUGGAAGCUAAAGAUUUAGUACACAUGGACAUAAAUAUGGGAACACUAGAUGCUGUAGACUUCUAGAUGGGGGAAGGAGAGAGGAAGGCAUGGGUUGAAAAACUACCUAUUGGGUACUAUGCUCACCACCUGGGUAAUGAGAUCUGUAUCCCAAACAUUAGCAUGAUGCAGUAUUCUCAUAUAACAAACCUGUACAAGUACCCUUUGGUAUAUAAAAUGAAAGGUAAAAUUUUUAAAAAUAAAUAAAUAAUAAUUUUUAAAAAAGAAAUGCUAAAGGGAGUUCUUCCGUCUGAAAGAAGUGUACACUAAUUUGUAACAAUAAAACAUCUGAAGGCAUAAAAUUCACUGAAAAAAGUAAAGAAACAAAGUUAAAAUACUAUGGAUACUGUAUUCACGAUAAGUCAACCAGUCUUUCUACUUAUAUAUUAAGUGAGAAGACUAAAAGGAAAAACUUUUAAAUACAAUAAUAACUAAAACAAUAGGUUAAGAGAUGGGCAAUAUAACAACCCGUAAAUUGAAACAUUGCUACAUCCAAACGGAGAGGGGAAUUGUGUUAUAGAGUUUUAUUUUCUUUGAGAUCAAAGUUAUGUCACUAUAAGUUUAAAAUAACUUGUUACAACUAUAGGAUGCUUUUGUAAGCCUUAUGGUAACCACAAAGCAAAAAUCUAUAAUAAUUACACUAAAAAUAAAUAGCACAGAAACCAAACAUAAUAUUAGAGAAAAUCACUUAACCAUACAAGAAGACAGAAAAGAAAGAAAGGAUCUUCAAAACAAUUUUUUAAAAAAGUAACAAAAGGGUAGCAGUAAACCUUUACCUAUAGAUAAUAACCUUAAAUGGAAAUGGAUUAAAUUAUCCCAUUAGAAAACAGAGGGACUGAAUAGAUCUGUAAGAACCAAACUCAACUAUAUGCUACCUGCAAGAAACACACUUCACCUGCAAGGAAACACUCAGCCUGAAAAUGAAAGGGUUAAAAAAAAAGUAGCUCCAUACAAGGAAACCAAAAAAGAGCAAGAGUAGCUAUAACCAUAUCAGACAAAAGAGACUUUAAGUAAAGAAAGAUAAAAGUAAAAUAAAAAAAGACAAGGAAAGCCAUUACAUAAUGAUAAAGGGGUCAGUAUAGCAAGAACUUAUAACAAUUAUGAAUAUAUUGCACUCAACCCCAAAUCACCCAAAAAAUGUAAAACAAAUGCUGAUAGACAUAAAGAGAGAAUUUGACUGCAAUACAAUAAUACUAAGGGAGGGACUUCAAUACCCCACUUUCAUUAAUGGGUAAAUCAUCUAGACAGCAAAUCAACAAAGAAAAGUCAAACUGUAUCAUGGGCCAAAUGACCUAACAGACAUUUGCAGAACAUUUCACCCAACAGCUGCAGAAUACACAUUUUCUUAUCAGCACAUGGAACAUUUAGACCAUCUAUGAGGUAACAAAACAAGUCUUAAAAAAUGUUUAAAAAUCAAAAUCUUAUCAAUUAUCUUUUCUGACAAUAAUUGAAUAAAACUAUAAACCAAUUGCUGAAGGAAUAUUGGAAACUGUAUAAAUUUAUUGAAAUUAAACAACCUGCUUCUGAGCAACAAAUGGGCCAUUAAAUAAAUUUAGGAAAGAAAUUUUAAAAAUUAUUUGAGACAAAUGAAAAUGGAAACACAGUAUAUCAAAACAAGCAAAAACAGUUCUUGGAAGGUUUUAGCAAUAAACAUCUACAUCAAAAAAGUAGAAAGACUUCCAAUAACCUAACAAUUCACCUUUUAGAAGUAGAAAAGCAAGAAUAAAUCAAACACAAAAUUAAUAGGAGGGAAGAAAUAAUAAAGAUCACAGAAGAAAUACAUAAAAUUGAGACUAAAAGAACAACAUGGAAGAUCAACCAAACAAAAACUUGAUUAUUUGAAAAGAUAAACAAAAUUGACAUACAUUUAGAUAGUUACCAUUAAUUAGAAAACAAAAGAAAAUGCCCGAAUAAAAUCAGAGACAAGAAAAGGGAAACAUUACAACUGGUAUCACAAAAAUACAAAUAAUUAUUAGCUAAUAUUAUGAACAAUUACGUGCCAACAAAUUGGAAAACCUGAAGAAACUGACAAAUUCCUGGACAAGUACAACUUACCAGGAUUGAACCACGAAGAAACAGAAAAACUGAAGAGACCAAUAAAAACUGAGAUUGAAGUAAUAAUAAAAAAACCUAUAAUUAAAAAUUAUAAUUUAAUAUAAUUUAAUAUAAUUUAAUACUAUAAUAAAAAAUAAUAAAAAAUAAUUAUAUUUUUUAUUAUUUUAUUUUAAAUAUAUUAUUUUAAAUAUAUUAAAAUAAUAUAUUUUAUUAUUAUAUAAAUAUAAAUAUAAUAUUUACAAUUAAUAAAAAAUAAUUUUAAAAUCCAGAGAAAAGCCCAGGACCUUAGAGCUUCACUGCUAGAUUCUACCUAUUGAAUAAAAAUGAAAAGUAAUUCUACUGUACUGUUCCAAAUAAUUAAGUAGGAAGGAAUACUUUCAAACUUAUUUUUUAAGGCCAGAAUUACCCUGACACUAAACCCAGAAAAGAAGAUAACAAAGAGAAAACUACAGGACAAUGUCCCUAUUGAACACAGAUGCAAAAAUUCUCACCAAAAUACUAGCAAACUGAAUUCAACAACACAAUAAAAAUAUCAUUGACCAUUAGUUUGUAUAUCAAUAUAUGCAAACUGUGAAUGAUACAUUAUGUUAACAGAAUGAAGAAGAAAAAAAUCGUAAUCAUUUCAACUGAUGUUGAAAAAUCAUUCAAUAAAAUUUAACAUCUCUUCAUAAUUAAAAACUUUCAACUGGGUAUAGAAGGAACAGACCUCAAAACAAUAAAGUCCAUAUGUAACAAAUCCACAGUUAAUACCGUACUGAACAGGAAAAAAAACGAAAGACUUUGCUUAAGAUCUGGAAAAAGACGAGGAUGCUCACUUUCACCAUUAUUCAACAUGGUACUGGAAGUCAACCUAAAGCAGUUAGACAAGAGAAAGAAACAAAAGGCAUCUGAAUUGGAAAGAAGGAAGUCAAUUUGUCCCUGUUUGCAUAUGACAUGAUCUUAUAUACAGAAAAAACUAAACAGUCUAACAUAUAACUCUUGACAACACAUAAACCAAUCCCAUAACGUUUCAUAGUAUAGAAUCAACAUACAAACUUUAGUUAAUAGUGAACUUUCUAAAAAGAUAUCAAAGGCACCAAGAAUAAACAUUGUGGAAAGGAGAGUCUAGUGAGGAUGCAGAGAAAGGGGGAUACUAGUGUACUGUUGGUAGGAAUGUUAAGUUAGUGCAGCUACCAUGGAAAAUAGUAUGGAGGUUCCACAAAAAACUAAAAAUAGAACUUUCCAGCAAUCCCUACUGCCAUAUAUAUAUAUAUAUAUAUAUAUAUAAAUUGCUAUAGUAAAGGGAUGUCUGCACUCCCAUGUUUACUGCAGCUAUAUUCACAGUAGCCAAGAUAUGAAAUUAACCUAAGUAUCCAACACUGAUGAAUAAAUAAAGAAAAUGCGGUAUACAUACAUAAUGGCAUAGUAUUCAGCCAUUAAAAAGAAUAUAAUCAUGUCAUUUGCAACAACAUACUUGGAACUUCAGGUCAUUAUGUUACCUUUAGUGAGCCAGGCAGAGAAAGACAAAUGGUACAUAUUGUCGUUCAUAUGUGGAAGCUACAAAAGUUUAUCUCUUGGAAAUAGAAGGUAGAAUGAUCAUAACCAGAGGCUGGAAAGUGUUGGGAAGAGAGGGAUAAGGUUGGUUAAUGGGCACAAAGAUACAGUUAAAUAGAAGGAGUAAACUCUAGUGUUUGAGAGCACAGUAGGGUGACUAUAGUUAACAAUAAUUUAUUGAAUAUUUCGAAAGAUUUAGAUGGUUCUCAAUAUAAAGAAAUGAUAAGUGUUUGAGGUGAUGGAUAUUCUAAUUACUUUGAUUUGAUCAUAACAGAUUGUAUGCAAUCUGUAUCAAAAUACAUCAAAAUGCAGAUGUAUCAAAAUAUCAUAUGCACUUUAUAAAUAUAUACAAUUAUUAUGUAUCAAUUUAAAACUGGAAAAAAAGAGCUUCUGUUGUUCAACAUCCUUUUCAACCAAUGUGAUAGGCAUGCAAUGCUAUUUCAUUGUAUUUCAUUUUUAUGAUAAAAUUGGUCAUUUUCCUACUGUUAUGGGCCACUUAUAUUUUGAUUUUUGAUGAAAUGCUCUGUCAGUUUUCCUUGUCCACUUUUCCAUUGUAAUAUUUACCUUUUUGUUAUUUAUCUUAGGUGUUCUUCAUAUUUUCUAAAUUUGAAUUCGUGACUGCUAAAUGUGUUUCAAAUAUCUUUUCAGAUUCAUAGGGUUUGGUGUUCACUUUGUUUUUAUGAGUCUUUUGAUGAAUAUAAGUACUUAAAUUUAAUACAUUUCAAUGUAUCAUUUUUUAUCCAUUAAGCCAUGUGAAAUUCGUUUUGCUUAAGGUAUGAAUGUUAUUUUAAUUUGAAAAAUCUAUAUAAUAAAGUAAUCCAUAAAUACUUAAAUAGUCUAUCCAGUUCCACUGAUUUGAACAAACACUUCUGUUAUAUCCAUAUUCCAUAAAUGUAUAGGUCUGUAGCUUUCUAUUCUGUUCUCCUUUUUUAUUUGCCUUUUUUGUACUAUUUCCACACUGUCCUAAAUAUUUAUAGCUUUAGAAGAAGUCGUUAUAUUUAAAACUAGAAUUCCUUUUUCCUUGUCUGUUUUCAGGAAUUUUUCUGUUUUUCUUGUCCCUUUACUUUUCCAAAUAAUUUAGAAUAAAGUUGUCAAGUAGAAAAAAUAUAUUGUUAUGAUUAUAAAUAGAAUCACAUUAAAUCUAUAUCUCAAUUUAGAGACAUUUGUCAUCUUUGUAAUAUCUUUUCCUAUGAAUAUGAUAUAACGUUUUAUAUCCUGUUUCAUUUCUUUCAAUAUAUAAUAUGGUAUAAUUUCAUUUAAAAAGCUUUUGUAGAACCUUAGAUUUAUUCAUAAUUUAUUUUUGAUACUAUUCUUAAAUUUCAGACAUCAUUUGAUUUUUGUAUAUUGACCUUGUGUAUGUCAAACUUGCCUAACUUUAUUAAUUUUAAUUACUUGCUUUUGUAAACUUUUUGUAAACUUGAGUUUUAUUUCAGUCUAGAAUCAUAACAUCUGGCAUCACUGAUAUUUUUGUUUUCAUUUCUAAUGAAUUUUAUUUCUUUGUAUUUUCUUAUGUUUAUGGCUAAACAACCAAUUUUGUGUUGAAUGUAAAGGCUGACAAGAAAUAUCCUUUUAUCAUUUGUGAUAUUAAAAUGCAU
rnacentral:lncRNA from 10 species